UUGUAACAUCUGAGAGAACUCGCACAAAAGAAAAAAAAACAUUUAAAGAUAAACUCUAAUAAACGUAUAUCACAGGUUACAGAGAUGGGUUAACUGUUACAACACAGCCAAGCAAAUUGCUUAUGUUUCAUCAUUCUUUGCUGAGGCUCGGUUCUAGCUUAACUGCUGAUGAUGAUAUCCAUCGCCUGAUCGACUCAAUCUUGUUUACACUAACUCAUAAAUUUAGUGCCUUCAGUGAAAUAUCACGUCAAAAACAUCAGUGAAGGUGUUCUUGGAAGCAA